UUSGAUUGGGCAAGUCUGGUGCCAGCAGCCGCGGUAAUUCCAGCUCCAAUAGCGUAUAUUAAAGUUGUUGCAGUUAAAAAGCUCGUAGUUGAAUUUCGAGACCGGUUUACUGGUCGUGCUUUUGUACGUACUGGUAUAAUCGGUUUCUCUCUUCUGACGAACUAUAAUGCCAUUAAUUUUGUGUUAUAGGGAAUCAGGACUGUUACUUUGAAAAAAUUAGAGUGUUUAAAGUAGGCUCACGCUUGAAUACAUUAGCAUGGAAUAACGGAAUAGGACGUUUGAUUCUAUUUUGUUGGUUUCUAGGAUCGACGUAAUGAUUAAUAGGGAUAGUUGGGGGCAUUAGUAUUCAAUUGUCAGAGGUGAAAUUCUUGGAUUUAUUGAAGACUAACUACUGCGAAAGCAUUUGCCAAGGAUGUUUUCAUUAAUCAAGAACGAAAGUUAGGGGAUCGAAGACGAUCAGAUACCGUCGUAGUCUUAACCAUAAACUAUGCCGACUAGGGAUCGGAUGAUGUUAAUAUUAAUGACUCAUUCGGCACCUUACGGGAAACCAAAGUGUUUGGGUUC
rnacentral:rRNA from 1 species